GACGUAGGGCGCGAGCGUUGUCCGGAUUUAUUGGGCGUAAAGAGCUCGUAGGCGGCUUGUCGCGUCGACCGUGAAAACUUGGGGCUCAACCCCAAGCCUGCGGUCGAUACGGGCAGGCUAGAGUUCGGUAGGGGAGACUGGAAUUCCUGGUGUAGCGGUGAAAUGCGCAGAUAUCAGGAAGAACACCCGUGGCGAAGGCGGCUCUCUGGAACGCAACUGACGCUGAGACGCGAAAGCGUGGGGAGCAAACAGG
rnacentral:rRNA from 1 species